UACGUAUGUCCCGAGCGUUAUCCGGAUUUAUUGGGCGUAAAGCGAGCGCGGACGGUUGGUUAAGUCUGAUGUGAAAGCCCGGAGCUCAACUCCGGAAAGGCAUUGGAAACUGGUUAACUUGAGUGCAGUAGAGGUAAGUGGAACUCCAUGUGUAGCGGUGGAAUGCGUAGAUAUAUGGAAGAACACCAGCGGCGAAGGCGGCUUACUGGACUGUAACUGACGUUGAGGCUCGAAAGUGUGGGUAGCAAACAGG
rnacentral:rRNA from 1 species